rnacentral:tmRNA from 2 species
GUCUAUUUUCUAAUGGACUAGGUGAUUCACACCAGUAUCUCGGACAGCGGUUCGAUUCCGCUCAGCUCCACCA